UUCGUCGUCUGAGAAGGGGGAGGGGGCAAAAUGUCGACUGCUGGACUUUCCAGAGAAACCCCAUCUCCUUAUCUGGUAUGAAAUGUAGUGUCGGUUUCGCUUUAGCUUAGGAGCGGUAACUGUAACCACUUUCUAUCAGGAUAGUUAUAGACAAACACCAUAACACCUUUUCGCCACCAACUAACCAAUGGUAGUGAUGGAGAUUGUCUAAAAAUUUCUAUUUACCAACAAUUGAUUUUUUUCAAGAUAUAUAAUAUCAAUAAAAAUAUAUUAAAUCCAACAUCAAACAAACGUAUGUAUAGCCUACUACAAUGAUCAAGCCCAAACGUUGCACAGUUAGUGGCAAUGCCCUAGUAUGACAAGGCUAGGUCGAUUUUAAAUAGAUUUUCGUUGAGAUUGAAAGAUGCUGCUCCAAACACAGAGCUACAAUGAUAAAGGGUCUGCUUUAACACCAUCAUCGCGACAAAUUCAUUCAACGAUGUAGCUCUCUGUCGGCGGCAAAGAUGGCUUUUUUAAAACAUCUUCUCAGUGCUUCUCAGUGCUCAGUGCAAGUGCUUCUUGGUUAACGAGGUAACUAUUGUUUUUAAAACGAACAAACCGACCACAUAAGAGGUGGCUUGAGAAUUCUUAGAAGGCUUUAGAAUCCUUUCUUGGAUACUUUAAAGGUAUUUUGUCGAAAUCUGACAUACAAUCUUUGUACAAGCGAACCAGGUUUUCUCUUUCGAAUUUAGUUAGGUUAAGGAUUCAACAAGGAAAGCAGGCAAGUUUGUCGACUUUAUCCCAGCCACAAAUUUAUUUUAAAUCUUUACUACACUGGCGUCUCCAAUAUUUACCAACAACAAUUAUCACCACUAUUUACAAUCAUUACAAUCAUUUUUUUUUUAAAUAAAUGUAAACUGUCUUUAAUGACCAAAUAGGAAGGUUUUAAGUAACAUACCUGGAAUAUAAUUUUCAUGUAUGACUAUGAAAAUGUUCUAGAGAAGUAUAUUGUCUGCCACAGGUGUAGACGGAAAGAGAAAUAUAGCCUCUUUUUAAGGCUUCAAUUUUUGUGUACAGGCGAAUCCCUGUUGGGUUUUAUAGGCACUGAAUAUGCUUUGACUUGGUGUUCAGAACAUCAAUUGCAUCUUUCUUUAGAAUCGGGACUCCUAAAGUGUAGGUAGCGUUAAACAAAGAGGAAAAACUCUUUCGAGCAUGGUAACAAUAUCGUUUAUACACUCCUUGUCUUUUGGCGGCAAUGGUGAGCUACUUCUUGCUUGAGAACCAAACUGUUUUGGCUCUCAAUAAAGGCUCACAACUGUCGGGGAUGUGGGUGGUUGUGGAUCUUGCAUAUGUAAAUAGUGGGUUGCCAUCGAUAAGUUAGAACAUGAUGUGGAAUUGGUUUACGGGUUGAGUGGGAUCCCCUGGGAUAAUCUGUUCCAAGUCCCAGCGAAAGGCCCUAUCACCAACAUAGAGUAUCAUACUGGUUGGUCAGGUUUAUCGACAGUCCUCAGCCAGAAAAUGCCGAGAGAAAUCCGUUGUUCAUCGCUGUUAGUUUUGCCGCUGUGUUUAAAAAUAGAUCUUGUUGGAAAGCAGCAAGUCUAUCGACUUUAUCUCAGCCACAAAUUAAUUUAAAUCAUUACUACACCUGGCUUCUCUAUUCUUCAGCGUUAGAUCUAACUCUGUGACAUCGAUUACAAUUUCACAAGAAAGAUCAAGCUGAGGAUAUAUUAAUUUCUCAAUGCAGAUAGAAGAAUGGCAAACAACAAGUUGUAUUUGGAGGAUUCAUCUCCUAUCAACAGAAGGGGAUCGGAAAAAUAAUAUUAGCUUUGGAAUUUAGUUGAAGAGUGUCGUUUUUUGGAAGUAUUUUGCGUCAAAAUGCCAAAAACAGCAAAAUCAAAUUCGGAAUGGGAGACGAGAAUCUUACAAUUUUUGGCAAGGGCAGAGGGCUAGUAAAACCACCAAAUGGGGCAAAGUUGUUGAAAAAAUAGAAAAGUGCCCAAUGAGAACACUUCAAAGUAGAGGUAGAGAUGUUAUGGGAAAGCUUCGUGUCUGUGAUUGCGGAUACCAUGGUAAGCCAGUGGUUCCUGAAAAGAAUUGUCAAGUUGUAACGGCCACAAAACCAACUGUGGCAGACUCUGUCAGUGAGUCUGGAUGCCAUGUUAAGCCAGUGGUUCCUGUAAAGAAUUGUAAAGCUGUAACGACCACAAAACCAACUGUGACAGAGACUCUGUCAGUAAAAGUGCUGUGGUUCCGCUCUCUCUCCCUAAAACAUUAGUGUCAACUGGUAGGCAUAGUGGACAAAAUUUGAUUCCGUUCAAUCAGUCUAUUCAUCAACCAACAGACAACAAGUGUGAUGAAAACAUUCUGGCUCCGUUAUCAAAACCAGUGGAUUCAACAGUAGCAGUUAAUGUAAAGAAUCCUGGUGUUCAAGCCUCAUCCACCAAUCUUCCAUCAUGUGAAGAGAAUAAUUCAAGGCAGCAUGAUUACUCGAAAAGACUUCUACUUGGCUGGAAAGAAAGUUUAGGAGAGCAGGAUCAACAGUGGAUAGGGCACCAAGUCUUUUCAAAUAAAGGUUUUCUUUCAAAGAACUUAAAGCAGUGGUGGUAUCCACCAGAAAUACCGGGUCCAGAGUUGAAGCAGUACCCGAACUUGCAUUCAUAUUUCCACAGAAGACUUUUGUUAUGGAUGCUUAAGCGAAUGUGGGCUUUUGAUCUAAAAUGCCCAGUGUGUGCCAAGAGUUUUUCACUCAAUUCAAAAGGAGUAU
rnacentral:lncRNA from 1 species